rnacentral:rRNA from 1 species
CGGGACGGGUGAGUAACGCGUGGGUAACCUGCCUCAUACAGGGGGAUAACAGUUAGAAAUGACUGCUAAUACCGCAUAAGCGCACAGGACCGCAUGGUCAAGUGUGAAAAACUCCGGUGGUAUGAGAUGGACCCGCGUCUGAUUAGCUGGUUGGUGAGGUAACGGCCCACCAAGGCGACGAUCAGUAGCCGACCUGAGAGGGUGGCCGGCCACAUUGGGACUGAGACACGGCCCAAACUCCUACGGGAGGCAGCAG